UCUGGUGGCUUAGAUGGUAAAGAAUCUGCCUGCAAUGCGGGAGACCCAGGUUCAAUCCCUGGGUCAGAA
rnacentral:tRNA from 1 species